rnacentral:rRNA from 1 species
UUAACCGUAUAGGGGAGCCGAAGGGAAACCGAGUCUUAACUGGGCGUUAAGUUGCAGGGUAUAGACCCGAAACCCGGUGAUCUAGCCAUGGGCAGGUUGAAGGUUGGGUAACACUAACUGGAGGACCGAACCGACUAAUGUUGAAAAAUUAGCGGAUGACCUGUGGCUGGGGGUGAAAGGCCAAUCAAACCGGGAGAUAGCUGGUUCUCCCCGAAAGCUAUUUAGGUAGCGCCUCGUGAAUUCAUCUCCGGGGGUAGAGCACUGUUUCGGCUAGGGGGCCAUCCCGGCUUACCAACCCGAUGCAAACUGCGAAUACCGGAGAAUGUUAUCACGGGAGACACACGGCGGGUGCUAACGUCCGUCGUGAAGAGGGAAACAACCCAGACCGCCAGCUAAGGUCCCAAAGUCACAGUUAAGUGGGAAACGAUGUGGGAAGGCCCAGACAGCCAGGAUGUUGGCUUAGAAGCAGCCAUCAUUUAAAGAAAGCGUAAUAGCUCACUGGUCGAGUCGGCCUGCGCGGAAGAUGUAACGGGGCUAAACCAUGCACCGAAGCUGCGGCAGCGACGCUGAUGCGUUGUUGGGUAGGGGAGCGUUCUGUAAGCCUGUGAAGGUGGCCUGUGAGGGUUGCUGGAGGUAUCAGAAGUGCGAAUGCUGACAUAAGUAACGAUAAAGCGGGUGAAAAGCCCGCUCGCCGGAAGACCAAGGGUUCCUGUCCAACGUUAAUCGGGGCAGGGUGAGUCGACCCCUAAGGCGAGGCCGAAAGGCGUAGUCGAUGGGAAACGGGUUAAUAUUCCCGUACUUGGUGUUACUGCGAAGGGGGGACGGAGAAGGCUAUGUUGGCCGGGCGACGGUUGUCCCGGUUUAAGCGUGUAGGCUGGUUUUCCAGGCAAAUCCGGAAAAUCAAGGCUGAGGCGUGAUGACGAGGCACUACGGUGCUGAAGCAACAAAUGCCCUGCUUCCAGGAAAAGCCUCUAAGCAUCAGGUAACAUCAAAUCGUACCCCAAACCGACACAGGUGGUCAGGUAGAGAAUACCAAGGCGCUUGAGAGAACUCGGGUGAAGGAACUAGGCAAAAUGGUGCCGUAACUUCGGGAGAAGGCACGCUGACACGUAGGUGAAGUGAUUUACUCA